GAGAGAACACGGCUCUUUAAGAAUUUUUUCCAGCAGUUUUUCUGACUUUGGUUGGAAAACCCAU